AUUGAACGCUGGCGGCAGGCUUAACACAUGCAAGUCGAGCGGAGAUGAGGUGCUUGCACCUUAUCUUAGCGGCGGACGGGUGAGUAAUGCUUAGGAAUCUGCCUAUUAGUGGGGGACAACAUUCCGAAAGGAAUGCUAAUACCGCAUACGCCCUACGGGGGAAAGCAGGGGAUCUUCGGACCUUGCGCUAAUAGAUGAGCCUAAGUCGGAUUAGCUAGUUGGUGGGGUAAAGGCCGACCAAGGCGACGAUCUGUAGCGGGUCUGAGAGGAUGAUCCGCCACACUGGGACUGAGACACGGCCCAGAUUCCUACGGGAGGCAGCAGUGGGGAAUAUUGGACAAUGGGCGGAAGCCUGAUCCAGCCAUGCCGCGUGUGUGAAGAAGGCCUUUUGGUUGUAAAGCACUUUAAGCGAGGAGGAGGCUACCUGGAUUAAUACUCUAGGAUAGUGGACGUUACUCGCAGAAUAAGCACCGGCUAACUCUGUGCCAGCCGCCGCAGUAACAC
rnacentral:rRNA from 1 species